CCUACGGGAGGCUGCAGUCGAGAAUCAUUCACAAUGGGGGAAACCCUGAUGGUGCGACGCCGCGUGGGGAAUGAAGGUCCUCGGAUUGUAAACCCCUGUCCUGUUGGAGCCAAUUAAAAAGAUAGUACCACAAGAGGAAGAGACGGCUAAGCCUGUGCCAACAGCCGCCGUAAUACCGAGGUCUCAAGCGUUGUUCGGAAUCACUGGGCGUAAAGCGUGCGUAGGCUGUUUCGUAAGUCGUGUGUGAAAGGGGCGGGAUCAACCCGCGGACGGCACAUGAUACUGCGAGACUAGAGUAAUGGAGGGGGAACCGGAAUUCUCGGUGGAGCAGUGAAAUGCGUAGAUAUCGAGAGGAACACUCGUGGCGAAGGCGGGUUCCUGGACAUUAACUGACGCUGAGGCACGAAGGCCAGGGGAGCGAAAGGGAUUAGAUACCCCAGUAGUC
rnacentral:rRNA from 1 species